GUUUAAUAGGUACAGGUUUAAUCUGGUGCAGGUAGACUGCAGUCAGACUCAAAUUCUUGUACUUAAUUGUGACGUGACGCAGUGAAAAGUUGGGACUGUGAUAGAAGAGCAAGGGAAGGCUGUCACACAAUUCCAUUUGGAAUGCUCUGGACUAGUGCUGUGUUUUCAGCAGAGAGUGGAGCCCUGGUUUGUCCGGGGGUGGGAUGGUUGUGUCUCACAAUCAGGCUCUGGGAACGGGGUGUGUGCACCAAAAAAGCACCAAGGAGGAACUGGAGCCUUGGCAGGACCGGGAGGGUGCCCAGAGCAGCUCUGCAAGCAGAAUGAGUGCCUUCACCCCUCUGUCAUCACCAGCCCCUGAGAGCAAUCACCACCCACCAACAGUUCCUGGAGAUAAGGCCGAGCCAGCUGGGAGAAGAAAGCCUUUGAUAUUCCCUGCCUUGCUGACUGCGUUUCUCACAGCUCAGUCUGGAGUGGGCCAGGGGAGGUGGCUGGACACGAAAGAAUAACACUGAUGGGGGAUGCAGGGAAGGUGUUAAUCUUCUGCCAUGUGUGUAGGGCCUGGGCAGAGGAGGUGGAACUCAGCUGUGGAGUCCCCCUGAUCCUUCCACAGGUAUCAGCACAGGACAAUCACAUUUCCAAGGCAAUACCAAGCACUUCCCAAGAGCAUCUGGCUAAGAAGGCUCAGAAGCAAUAGCAAGACUGUGGUGAAAAGUUUGGUCCACCAAUCCAACUUUUGGACAUGGCAGGGAAGAGACACUUUUUGAUAAAACAUCAAGCACUGUAUAUUUUAUUCUUUGUGUUUGUCUGUGCUCCCAUUCUGAUCACCCCUUGAAUUAUUAUUUUUCAAAAAGAUAUGUAGGAGAGAAAUCAUGUUUAUUCAGGGAGAGCCAUAAUUUUCAUCUGUUUAAAAGGCACCAGGUUUGUUUUAAGCCCCGCAAACACACGGAGAGCUCCAGAGUUUGUAGUGCAGUUUUCUGCAGCACUGAUUUAUUCCAUUUUACAGUACCCAUGCUCUGGGGUAACAGGUAGGCCCAAUACCAGCAGUGGGAGAGGCAGACCUGGAAGAUGCUUUGGAUACAGCCCAGCCAGGUUUUAUGCAGCCUGCAAAGUCUGGCCUCGCUCUACAAACUGGUCUGCUGUUGCCAUCUGCUGGAAAAAUCCCUAAUGGAUAUUUCCAAACAUGGGGAGGAGUAUCUGCUCCUGUUACAGAAAUGCUGGGGGCUUUUUGUGCUUUUUAAGGCAGCUUUUUCCCCCUCAAGAUCC
rnacentral:lncRNA from 1 species